GUCACCUCAUCAGAGAGAAAUCAAUUAGGAGAGGCUUCACAACGAGAGCUCCUCCUCCCUCCUCCCAGCCACGAUCCACCAAGGGGAACGGAUUAAGACAGAGAUGUCUGGAGACAGAAAGGUUUUUCUGGGUGGAGAUUUCAGCAGCAUUUAGAUUUGGAAGAGCCAGAGGCUGUCUCACUCUGAAAUCUGCAGGUUCCUGUGCGCCCAAACUUGUGCCGGGCACCAAGACGAGAAUAAGACAGCAGGGCAGAAGUUGUGGAGAAGCUGAAUUGUCUCUCUGCAAGGAAAAAUUUCCUGACACAAGUAUCUGUCCAGAGAGGAAGAUUCAACUGCAAGAGCUUUCAGCAGGCAAUGGUGUCCAACUAGAAUCGAAACACAUUGUUAUUGUUUUACUUAUUUUUAUAAUUACUUUUUAUUUUGGCAAGUAACGGGUGGUUUCGCAGUUACUGUAGUGCUAGAAGGCUUUUUUAAAAAAACAAUAAACAUACUUGAGUAAGAAAUAGUAAGUUGAUUUAAAGAAAAAUAUCAAGUAAAUAACAUUUUAGGUAGAAUAUGGAUUUGGCAUGAAUUGUGACACUGGUACUCGAAUGUGGAAAGUUUGGGAAACAUGAAUUUAGAGGUUGCUCAGACUCUUGUUGAACCAGUGAUCUCUGAGACCCUUCCAAGGUUAACAAUGUCUGAUAUUCUGGAUGUACAGACAGUAUAGGUCAUAGGAGCUCAGCAAGUGCUAACAUGGACAGGGAAGGCUUUGUGGGACAUGAUCUUGGUCUUAAAGAACGAGUAGGAUUUAAGUGAAG
rnacentral:lncRNA from 1 species